CCUACGGGUGGCAGCAGUGAGGAAUAUUGGUCAAUGGGCGCGAGCCUGAACCAGCCAAGUCGCGUGAAGGAAGACUGUCCUAUGGAUUGUAAACCUCUUUUGUCGGGGAGCAAAAGACGCCACGCGUGGCGUUCCGAGAGUACCCUAAGAAAAAGCAUCGGCUAACUCCGUGCCAGCAGCCGCGGUAAUACGGAGGAUGCGAGCGUUAUCCGGAUUUAUUGGGUUUAAAGGGUGCGCAGGCGGAAGAUCAAGUCAGCGGUAAAAUUGCGAGGCUCAACCUCAUAGAGCCGUUGAAACUGGUUGUCUUGAGUGAGCGAGAAGUAUGCGGAAUGCGUGGUGUAGCGGUGAAAUGCAUAGAUAUCACGCAGAACUCCGAUUGCGAAGGCAGCAUACCGGCGCUCAACUGACGCUCAUGCACGAAAGUGUGGGUAUCGAACAGGAUUAGAUACCCGGGUAGUC
rnacentral:rRNA from 1 species